rnacentral:ncRNA from 1 species
CCGACAGGCAGCCGCCUGCUCGGAUACUGACCUCGGUACCUAGUACGGCCGGGGCAG